GACGAACGCUGGCGGCGUGCUUAACACAUGCAAGUCGAACGGACAGUCCCUGCUUUUGUGCGGUGCUCGAGUGGCGAACGGGUGAGUAACACGUGAGUACCCUGCACUUGACUUUGGGAUAUCUUAAUGACACUGGGGCUCAUACCGGAUAGGAGCUCCUGCUGCUUGGUCGGGGUUGGAAAGUUUCGGCAGUUGGGGAUGGACUGGCGGCUUAUCGGCUUGUUGGUGGGGUAGUGGCUUACCAAGGCUUUGACGGGUAGCCGGCCUGAGAGGGUGACCGGCAACAUGAGGUCUGAGAUGAGGCACAGCCUAAUAUGGGAGGCAGCAGAGGAGUAGAUAGUACUAUGGGAUGAAGGCUGAUGUAGCGACGCCGCGUGGGGUAAAUGAGGAUGGGGUUUGGAAAGUGAAAUCGUCUGUGACGAAGCGUGAGUGACGGUAAUCGGUGAAGAAGCACCGGCUAACUACGUG
rnacentral:rRNA from 1 species